rnacentral:rRNA from 1 species
UUAAUGGAAACCGGCGCACGGGUGCGUAACGCGUAUGCAACCUACCUACUACUGGGGAAUAGCCCGGGGAAACCCGUAAUUAAUACCCCAUAACACCACAAGAUGGCAUCUGAUAGUGGUUAAAGUUCCGGCGGUAGUAGAUGGGCAUGCGUAAGAUUAGAUAGUUGGUGAGGUAACGGCUCACCAAGUCGACGAUCUUUAGGGGGUCUGAGAGGAUGAUCCCCCACACUGGUACUGAGAUACGGACCAGACUCCUACGGGAGGCAGCAGUAGGGAAUAUUGGACAAUGGGCGAAAGCCUGAUCCAGCCAUGCCGCGUGCAGGAUGACGGCCUUCUGGGUUGUAAACUGCUUUUCUAUAAGAAGAAAAAGUCCUUGCGAGGACAAUUGACGGUACUAUAGGAAUAAGCACCGGCUAACUCCGUGCCAGCAGCCGCGGUAAUACGGAGGGUGCAAGCGUUGUCCGGAUUUAUUGGGUUUAAAGGGUACGUAGGUGGAUCCUUAAGUCCGUGGUGAAAGCCUGCAGCUUAACUGCAGAACUGCCAUGGAUACUGGGGAUCUUGAAUUCAGUUGAGGUUGGCGGAAUUUAUGAUGUAGCGGUGAAAUGCAUAGAUAUCAUAAAGAACACCUAUUGCGAAGGCAGCUAACUGGACUUGAAUUGACACUGAGGUACGAAAGCGUGGGGAGCGAACAGGAUUAGAUACCCUGGUAGUCCACGCCGUAAACUAUGGAUACUCGUUGUUGGCGAUAUAC